GCCUGACCGCGCUGCUCCCCCACCGGUGGGAGACUGGCUCAGCUCCCAGGGCAGUGGGUGAGGUGCAGGUGGCGCAGCACUCGGGCCAACCUGGCACAAAUGAACCUGACGCUCCUAGGGCCGGCCCUGCGUGUUCCAGCUGCGCUGUCGGCCAGGUAUUUACCUCCCCCAGCAUGCAGUGGGAAGUGAGGUUGAGGCCGCGGUGGAGGCUGGGCACGAGAGCAGGUGCUGCCCGGCCAUGCGAGGGUGGGGGUGGUGCAGUCGGCUGCCUCGGGGACGCGGGGUACAGGGGACCCACCGCCACCACUGCUGCUCUCACAGCUGCUCCUGCUGCCACCUCUUGCGCCUCCCCACUGCAGCCCACAUGAUAGCAGCGGCCCCUCCGGAUGGCCUGCCGCUGCCAUCAGCAAGAUCUUCUGUAACCUGAUUCUUUUGUCUAACCCAUCACCUAUUAAGAAAGAACGUGAGCCAUGGUGAUGGAAGCCUCUUCCAAACCAAAGUGCUUAAUAAGUGCUCGUGAGGACCAUACAAUGUGGAAGGAACCUGGGUCCCUGAAAAUUCCCACAGAAGGCUACUGACCAAGAAAUCUUUCAACAGACUGUGACAGAAGCAAAAACUACAUUUUUAUUGGGUUAAACUACAGAGAUUUCUGGGUGUAUCUGUUACAGC